UCAGUCUCACAUUAAAUCAAAACGCAUUAAGUCCAUGAGCGACAAAAGGUCCCCAAAAGGAGCAACUUAAAACUUAAAACAGCCAAAGACACCUCGGCCAGCCAAAGAGCGUGAAGCUGGAGGAGUGUUGGAGAAGGAGAGCGGCGCUGGUCCCGCAGCUGGGGGAAGGAUGGCGCCAGAGCGCACGUAGCCUGCUGAAGUAUGUCUUCAUGCCUCAAGCGACGCUCACAAAUCAAUCAGGAUUUCCACAACGCCCGGAACUUUUAAAGUUAAGACACUUCAUCAUUUCACACGCGUGGAAUGACUGUCAACUAAUUGACGCGUAAUGUAGCGUUUAAUGAAAAAAAAUCCGCAACUGCUUAUUGCGGCUGUCAUGAGGUGAAAUAUCAGAAAUAUGAACACAAAUAAAUCGAUUUGUGUUUCCUCACCUCUAAUCGAUUUAUAUACAUUUGAUCCACGUUCUCUCGACGUUGUGAAAGUGUUAACAGUCAAAAUAGGAAUUUAAGUAGUGGAUUUACAGUUGAUUGGAAAUAGCUACCAGCCUCAUCUAACGCCAGCUACAUUAAUGGAAACAGACAGUCACUAAAUGGAGCCAUGAAGGCGCGACUUUAUGAGAGUUAUGUUACAUAUGAUAAAACAAAAUAAAAAGAAAUAAGACUUCAAUAAAGUACAGGAAGUUUAAAUCAAAAAAAUAUUUGAUAACUCUGCACAUAUAAAUAUUGUGCCAUAAUAUUCCCAAAGGAGCGUAAAGUGCGUAAUUCAAAUUUAUUCUAAUCCAAUCUGGUAUAAAUGUGACAUUUAUGAUCCCUUCAGGAAUAUAUUUCCAUAUCAAGCAGAUGCUCUGGGAUUUGUCAUAAUAUUGCCGUAACGCACGUGUCUGAGAAAGAUGAUGAAUGUAACGGUAUCUAAAUGAGGGCUGAGGCAGUGACUGCAGGAGCGCACAAGAGUGACAAACAACAUUGAGGUGUGCAGCGGUGUGUUCACUUGUGUGUGUUCGUGUGUGUGUGUGUGUGUGUGCGCUGGAGAGUUUCUUGGACGGUGAGCAGAGGAGGAGAGUCUGUCGGGGCGAAGAGCGGAGCAGCAAAGCACCCGGCAUCAGGCAGCAGACACACAGAGAGAGGGGUGUCACGUCUCAUUUUGGAACGAUGCUCUUCAAAUACUUCAUCACUGGUCCUCUCAGUUUCACUGCAGACGCUGGCUGACCUCAUCAAGUGACCUCACCAAUCACAGAUCAAAGUUGGCGGGUUUCUGGCUGGUCAGGUUAAUCAGAGGACCACCCUGAAGAACCAAUCAGCCCACGACCAAACCAACAUGCAGUAAGAGAGAGACAAAACUGACCCGAGGCGGAUUCAUCGGAAAGUAACAGAGGAUGUUUGUCUCAAACGGGACAAACAGAUGCAUCAAACAUGAUACAUCCUUUUUACAGAGCAAGGUUGCAGUGUGUUUGUGAGUCUCUUGGGCGACAUCCAUCAGUCGAAUGGAUAGAGGCCGUGCAACAGCAGCACUACAGCAAAAAGGAGGGCAGGGCGUAUUCCCUUUCCAAAAUCCACAGAAACACCAGUCUGGAAUCAAUCUGCUAUCACACUACUGACCCUAAAACACACACACACAAACACACACAUUUUAAUCUUUAACCCUAGUGAGACUUGCCCCUGCUAUUUUUCAUCCCCGUAAGUUUAUGUGUUGUAAUGUUGUAUCAGGUCUGGGAUAUGGUUCUCCGCUACAUCUCUGACUUCACCUGCUGCUGAAGCUCUUUACCAGAGCACUGGGAGUUAACUGCUGCCAUAAAUAGUCAAAGGAGUGUGCGCAGCGAUCUGCAGGGCAGCACAGGGCAAAGAUAUAUCUGACAGGAAAAGAGCAAAUCUUCUCUCCAUGCUACCUGCUGUAAAAAGCCACGUUUCAGCGCUUAAACCUUCAGAUCAGAGACAAGUUGAUUUUUGAAAAAAUAAAGAAAUAAAUAAAGAGAAAGUAUGUGAGGUGUCUACAGCACACUUAAUUUGAUUUGCUACCCACUGUCCCAAAAAUAGAUUGCACAUGGACAGAGCAUUUACAACAUGGCAUAAAUCAAAUCAGUUCACAGUAGAACAGCUUCAAAAUUCAGAUUUAAUUUGUGACGCCACAUAAAGUUUUUGAUUGCACCUAACCUUGUUUCACUUUUGAGGCCGUUUAAUUUGGAGAGUUAAAUCAAUCUAACAGAAUUUAAUUAUGUUUUUGCACACAGUAGGUAUUAAGCUGUAUAUUAAGGGCAGUCUGCCAUGCAGAGGUGUAGAUAUAAACAGAAUAUAUACACAGGCCUC